CAAAGUAUAGCUUAAUAUAAAGCAUCUAGCUUACACCUAGAAGAUAUCAUGUAAAAAUGACUACUUUGAG
rnacentral:tRNA from 1 species